GUCCACGCCGUAAACGAUGGGUGCUAGGUGUGGGGGGUGUCAACUCCCCCCGUGCCGAAGCUAACGCAUUAAGCACCCCGCCUGGGGAGUACGGCCGCAAGGCUAAAACUCAAAGGAAUUGACGGGGGCCCGCACAAGCAGCGGAGCAUGUGGUUUAAUUCGACGCGACGCGAAGAACCUUACCAAGGCUUGACAUGUAUUUGAAUGUCGGGGAAACUCGGCAGCCUUUCGGGGCAAAUACACAGGUGGUGCAUGGCUGUCGU
rnacentral:rRNA from 1 species